UGUUAUCUCUGCUCUAUAAGGUGUCGGCCGCCAUCCCCUAUUCACGUGCUUUUGUGUAUUGGAGAACCUGCUCAGCAAGCUGCAGUCUGCAACUUCGGCGGGAGGUUUAAUUCAAAUCCAGUACUGUUGCAUUUCAGCAAAAGCACAAGGGUGAAAGUCUUUGGUCCCCUUCAACUCCUGAGCAACAACAGCAGUGGCAUCUUCCCCUUCUUUCCCCUAAGGCUGUAGCUGCUCCAAACAAAGUUUGAGGCCACAGAGCGCAACACCCUCCUCACACACUCCCCAGGAUUGGACCCCCCAACUAGGCUCAGAUGGGAAA
ensembl:lncRNA